ensembl:rRNA 5S_rRNA 5S ribosomal RNA
GCCGGCAGCUAGCUCUCUGCAACUCUCACAUGGUCGCCCACCGAAGCCAAGCAGGGCUGCGUCCGGUCACUAGCUGGAUGGGAGAUCACACGGGAAAGCUAGGUUGCUGCCGGAU